GGGGAACAUGACAGAGAUUUCCUCCACUACCAGAGCACGCUGCAGCCUUGGUUCAGCCUCUGCCUUCUCUGGGCCUGCUCUGUAGGUUCUAAACUGACAGACUCUGGACUCUCAGCUUCUAGGUCACUGGGGACUGUCAUAAAUACUUUCCCUUUCCCUCCUGGAAAGCAGAGGCUGAGCAGGCCAUAUCCGCUCUGGGGCCUGCGCCUUAUCUUUUAGGGGGUGGGGGGAUAUCUCAACAUUUUAUGGGCCAGUGAAAAUCCUGCCACAGAGCUAUCCUUCCGGGCCUUUGUGUCUUGGAAUGCAACUGUCCAGAGUGUGCUUCAUGCAUCGCCUGCUUUGAGAGCCCACCAGUCCCCAAAGCCCCGACUGGACUUGAUUUCCCCUUUCAAGGGUCCCUCGCCUUUUCUCUCUUUAGUUCAUUUGAUUGUUUGUUUUUUACAUGUUUCUGGUUGAUUAUGCUCCUGGAGCCUGGAAAUAAAGGAACCGCAAGCAGCCAUCCUUGCUGGGGCGUCUCCGUCCCUCGCCCCGAGGCCUGCACCGCCCUCCUAGCGAUUAUUUUCAACGCCCGCCCUUCUGAGCCUCCCGAGUCUGCUGGGAGAGCGAGGACCCAUCUCCUGCCGCCACUCGCGAUUUAUUUACACCUCGCAGGCGCAUUUCUGGCCUCGGAACACCGCGCACGCAGACACACGCACCGAAGCUCCCGCGACCGCCUGCCCGUGGCGCGCACCCUAAACUCCUCGCUCCUCUUACCCUGCCUCCUGCUCCGUACCGCCUAUUCCGCCGCCGCCUGCAGGACUUUGGGGUGGGACUCUGACUUCUCCCGGCUCUUUGCCCCCUGGUUUGUGGCCCAGCCCUCUCUCACGCGCGCUCUCUCUCCACUUCUCCCUCCCAUCCAGUGAGGUCCUGUUCUCCGUGGGCCAUAGACAAAACAUUCCUAUAAUCCGAUUUCAAAGGAAAGAGUGUCCACCUUAUUUAAACCAUAAAACAAUUAAGCCCAGACGUCUAGCCAGCUCCGCGCUGCUGUUUUGUUCGGCCCCAUUCAGAAUCCAGCGCAGGGAGACAAACAGCGCCAUAAAAGUGGCAUUUCGGGGCCUCGGAAAUGUACCUACCCUCUGCCUUCCCAAGUGGAACAACCUUUAGGGUUUUGUGAUUCUGACAAAGGAGCAGAGGAGAGGUGGGAGGGGAGGAUUAGGGCAGGGGGGCGUUUGCAAGCCCCUCUUUCGUCCCUAGCUUUCGUUUCUUUCCCUAGAUGUGUGUCAUGUUGUUGUGGUUUGAGUUCACAAAUGACAAUAAAUAAAAAUCGAAUCCAAUCCUGACCUGCAGGCUGGAGGUUGAGCUGGUACUGAACCGUGGGCUGGACCGCGUGGGCCUACUCUGGAUCCCACGCUCUGGUUAGGGCCCUCCUUCCUGCCCGGAGCCAGACCGGCUCAGGCGG
ensembl:lncRNA